GCCACCAGCACCACUCCCACUCUCCCAUGCUGUCUGCCACCAGCACCAUCACACACCCCCAUACCGUCUACCACCACCAUGCCUUUUGCCGCACCUGCAAACAAGCAAAGGAAAAGGACAAAAAAUGGAGCAAUAAACAUUAACAGAAUAUUGUAUUUUUGGCUAUAAAAGCCACAAGCAAAAUCGAACCAGGGGGGAGAAACAAAAAAAAGAGGGGGGGACUUUUGUAACAAAAAAAAAAAAGAGAAGAUUCGGCUUUUGAAAAAAUUGAAAGAAAUAAAAAAGGGGGCUUUAGAAGGUGAUUCACCUUGUUUUUUUUUCGAUUGCGUUUUCUUUAUUUCCGUUCUAUUUCGGUUUUUCUAUAGUAUUUCUUUCUCUUUUUUAUUAUCAUUCAAUCAACACACAUAUAUAUAUAAGAUAAAAAAAAUAAAAGUAAAAAGGAGUUUACCUGUUUCCGGCGGCGGUGGAAAGAGGAAGAACCGAAAGGUCUCUUUCGAUUUCGGCCCUUUUCGCCGGGAUUUCGGCUUUUCUAACCCCAGAUCUGGACUCUAUUCGCAAAAAGGAGAAAAAGAGAGCUUUUUUUUGGUUUUUCGGCCACCGCGAACGGCGGCGCCGUCGCCGGCGUCCGGCGACCGGCGCGAAGGGGGCUCUUCCUCUCUUUUUACGGACACAAGAGCAAUAAAAACAUAAACUUUGAAUCGGAGAAGUAAUUUUCGUUUCUUUAUUUUUUGUGUGUUUUUACAUCUAGUUUGAUUUCUUUUUAUUUCUUUCUACUUACGAAAAUAAAAACAAAAGAAAUAAGGAGAGGAGAAACUCACCGGAGUUGGCCGUGACCGUGCCGCCGGGGUUUCUCUUCCAUCGUCGGCCGUCGAUCUUGGUGGCGUGGUGGCACUCAAGGUGUUAAGAAACCCAAGUGUUGGGUGUUUGAAAAAAUGGUGGUUUGAAAGAAGGCAGAGUCUUUUU
rnacentral:lncRNA from 1 species